AAUUUUUGCAAUUUCGUAUCAUCAAAAGACGAGCUUAUCAACAACGUAUUCCCGGAUAUCAUUGCUAACCACAAAAAUACUAAAUGGUUAAGUGAGCGAGCAAUUUUGGCCGCUAAAAAUAAAGAUGUAGAUGACCUCAAUCUUAUAAUUCAAAAUCAAAUCGUAGGUACUCUAUAUUCAUUCAAAUCUAUCGACUGUGUAACAAACGAAGAAGAAGCCACUAAUUAUCCAACUGAAGUUUUAAACUCCUUGGAUGUGCCUGGUUUACCACCGCACAAUUUAAAACUUAAAGUUGGAUCGGUAGUCAUCAUGCUUAGAAAUUUAAACCAACCAAAACUGUG
rnacentral:lncRNA from 1 species